rnacentral:rRNA from 1 species
GUGAAAAUACUAGCAUGGAAUUGCCGGGGGCUUGGGAACGCCCCGGCAAUUCGGGCUUUGCUGGAUGUCCCGCGAAGAUGUUGCCCCGAUGUGAUGUUUUUGUCGGAGACUCACCUCGAAACUUUUCCGGCUGAGGGUUUGCGUAGAAGAGCUAAGAUGGACCAAAAAAUUGUAUGUCCUGGAGAUAGUAUAAAAGGAGGUCUUAUUUUAUUC